rnacentral:rRNA from 1 species
AUUGAACGCUGGCGGCAGGCCUAACACAUGCAAGUCGAGCGGGGUUUUCGGACCUAGCGGCGGACGGGUGAGUAAUGCGUAGGAAGCUACCCGAUAGAGGGGGAUACCAGUUGGAAACGACUGUUAAUACCGCAUAAUGUCUACGGACCAAAGUGUGGGACCUUCGGGCCACAUGCUAUCGGAUGCGCCUACGUGGGAUUAGCUAGUUGGUGAGGUAAUGGCUCACCAAGGCGACGAUCCCUAGCGGGUUUGAGAGGAUGAUCAGCCAAACUGGAACUGAGACACGGUCCAGACUCCUACGGGAGGCAGCAGUGGGGAAUAUUGGACAAUGGGCGCAAGCCUGAUCCAGCCAUGCCGCGUGUGUGAAGAAGGCCUUCGGGUUGUAAAGCACUUUCAGUAGGGAGGAAGGGUUAAGUGUUAAUAGUACUUAACUUUGACGUUACCUACAGAAGAAGCACCGGCUAACUCUGUGCCAGCAGCCGCCGUAAAAC